UUGUUAUUACUACAUGUGAGUAAAUAUAGUUUGCUGUUAACAGAACCAGAGUUUUCUUGCAAUAACAGUAUUUUUUGUCCACAUAUCUCUCCAUUCAUGGUUUAGAUUAAUCCGUUUCCCCGUAAUUAAAUAAACAACACUCUCUACGUGGCUAUAUAGAAUAAACUAAAAUGAAGAAAGAACAUGUUGUGGAAAAUAUGGAGAAGUACAACUAGAGAAGUGCAACGUACUUCAGCAGAAUCCAGGCAUUAGCAUCUCCAAGGAGUCUUCUGGGCAGUGACAAUAGUGGGAUGCAGACCCAAGCUGGCCUGGAUUUACACCCUUGGUCCCCUGGAGAAAUCAUUGGGUGGUUGUUUAAAGCUGGUACAGCAUUGAAUACAGCAGAGGAGCCUUGACCUUUAUUUGUAAGCAUGGAAAUAAGGUAAGGAUGAAAGAUUGCUUUUCCUCCAGCUCAUAGGCAGGGAUCAGGAGGCCCUCCAGAGAAGCAGGGAGGUGGAAAGUCCCCAUUCAAUUUCUCUCCUCGCCUCCUUUCCCGUGCUGGCAGCAGAGGCCAGUAGUGCUAUGCAGAAGCCGUGCUCUACGGCAGCGAGAGGUGAAGGGAAGAAUCGCACAUGUUGCAGCUCCCUCGGGCUGCUGGAAGUAUAAGCAGUGAAUCAGCAGGGCUGAGGACCUGGCUGUUUUGACCCCAGCCCAGCUCUUUUUAGUCAAUUAGUUUAAGGCAAAUCCUUCCCUGGGGCUGGACACAGACACAAGCUCACCUGGUGCUUCAUGCUGUGCUGAUGCAACGAUGUAAGGUAUCGAUGCUCAUGGGCUACCUGAGGGCAAGAGUUGUGAGUGGUGCUGCAAUCUCUGCUGCUCGCAUUAUGGCUCAGUGGUACCAAUAGGAUCUGUGUAGUGCAUCAGGGGAGGAAAGAGGACCCCUAACCCGAGGAAAUACAGGUAAUCUUAGAAUAGUCUUAUUUCCAUUAAAGGUGAUUUCAUCUAGAGUGUGCUGAGUGGCAAAUUUACCCAGGAGGUUUAACUUGCUUCUCUGUCUUCACAUUUUCAGAAGUUUAAUUUUAGUAAAUUUGUACCGUGCUCAAAAUAAACCAAGAGGUAGUUCCACAAACGGGUUCAAAUGCAGGAACUGCUGUUGUGAUGGAGCUCUGGAUGUCCCUUUCAGUACCAUCACCUGGCAUUUGAAAGCUUGUCAUGGUGCGUAUCAACCCUCAGGAGAUCUUCUGAUCUCCCCACGUUAUCACAGCUUCACACUGAAGUGGGUUCAUUGGAGAUACAGCACUGAAUGCAUUCUGCAUGCCAGACCCACAAAAUGUAGGCAGCGAUUGUACUGCUUCUUGUAUGUGGUGCUGCAUUCACCCUACACAGUCAUUCCAUUCGCCAGCCCCCCUUUUCUGGCAGAAGUCAUUGCUGGAUCCCUGAAGUCCAGUGAAUUUGAAGAUCCACCAGGUCAUUAUCAUCUGUGGGCUGGAAAAGCUCCUUUUGGGAUAUUAAACAAUUAAAAGAGGGAAACCCUCCCCACACAAACCCAUCCCACAGCUCCCAACCUCCAUAGGCACAGUGCUGGCCUACCCAGCUGGCAGAGGGCCACGCUGUGUUGAGGGCGCAAACUUGGGUGAGGAUGCUGAGGAUCUGGUUGCCACUUCAGCCAAGAAAUGAAGAAGGAUUCACAGCACUUCUGUGGUGCAUUCUGGGUCUGUCUGCAUUUUCCAAGCAAAAAUUUAAUCACGCAAAUAUUUACAGAAAUUUGAGAAAAAAAUAAAGACCAGUGAAAGCCGCCGCAGUGAACUUCUAAUUACAAAUCCACCAAGUGUUUAUGAAUAAAUUUAUCUAUUAUUUGUCUUGCUCUAGCACUGCGCAUACUUUGCCUUGUACCAUUACAGUCUGAAGGAAACAAUAUGCGGCAUGAAAAUGAAAACAAUUUGACUUAAUUAUUUAUACUAUUACCACCCUUUUGAAUUAAGCCC
rnacentral:lncRNA from 1 species